rnacentral:rRNA from 1 species
AAACUCCUGUUGUUGAGGAAGAUAAUGACGGUACUCAACAAGGAAGUGACGGCUAACUACGUGCCAGCAGCCGCGGUAAAACGUAGGUCACAAGCGUUGUCCGGAAUUACUGGGUGUAAAGGGAGCGCAGGCGGGAGAACAAGUUGGAAGUGAAAUCCAUGGGCUCAACCCAUGAACUGCUUUCAAAACUGUUUUUCUUGAGUAGUGCAGAGGUAGGCGGAAUUCCCGGUGUAGCGGUGGAAUGCGUAGAUAUCGGGAGGAACACCAGUGGCGAAGGCGGCCUACUGGGCACCAACUGACGCUGAGGCUCGAAAGUGUGGGUAGCAAACAGGAUUAGAUACCCUGGUAGUCCACACCGUAAACGAUGAUUACUAGGUGUUGGAGGAUUGACCCCUUCAGUGCCGCAGUUAACACAAUAAGUAAUCCACCUGGGGAGUACGACCGCAAGGUUGAAACUCAAAGGAAUUGACGGGGGCCCGCACAAGCAGUGGAGUAUGUGGUUUAAUUCGACGCAACGCGAAGAACCUUACCAAGUCUUGACAUCCCUUGACGAUGCUGGAAACAGCAUUUCUCUUCGGAGCAAGGAGACAGGUGGUGCAUGGUUGUCGUCAGCUCGUGUCGUGAGAUGUUGGGUUAAGUCCCGCAACGAGCGCAACCCUUAUGGUCAGUUACUACGCAAGAGGACUCUGGCCAGACUGCCGUUGACAAA